GCCUGGGUGGCUCAGUUGGUUGAGCAUCUGACUUCGGCUCAGGUCAUGAUCUCAUAGUUUGUGGGUUCAAGCCCCGCGUUGGGCU
rnacentral:tRNA from 1 species